ACUGCUUAAAUCCUCAGUGUAUUACAGACAUUACCUUAUGCAAUCAGUCCUCCAUGUGGCACACCUGAACACCAAAACCAAAGCCCAGAAAUAAAAUGUCCAGAUGAUGUACUGCAUUUGUUGGCAAGCAGGGUUGAUGACAGCAAGGAUUUCGAGAUCUGCGUGUCUCGCACAGACUUCUUUCAAAGAGCUAUGGUACAGUGGCAGUGCCAAAAGAGAGGAACCCCUGGCAACAGUUUGCGUGUAGCAUUUUUUGGGGAAGCAGAUGUGGAUACAGGUGCCAUUUGAAAGGAAUUUCUUACAGAUCUGUUGUGCUGCAUGAAACCCUGCUUCUGAUCCCAAUGUCGAAGCAAAUCCAAAAAGGUCUUCAAGUGUACAAUUUUGUGUGCAUCUUGGAAGAGCAUUCAGGACUGUGCCAACAUUUCUUUGUCCCCAGUGCAGUGGACGAUGAUGAUGAUAAGAGCAUUCUUCCCGAACUAUCGGAGAAGGGAACAGUACAAGAGACCCGUGAAACAGCCAUCAUCAACUUCCUACAAGAUUUUCUUCAGGAAAUUUAAAGCGCUGCCUUUUUCAGUGUGCCAGUCUCACCUGUCACGCAGCCCCUGUUCGCAUUCACAUAUGGAGGCCGACAAUACACAUGGAUAAGAAUGCCCUGGGGAUUUAGAGACUUGCCUGCUGUGUUCUCUGCUGUAGUGCACGCUACUUUGAAAGACACCAAGCUGCCACCACAGACCUGUCUGCUGCAAUAUGCUGACAACAUCCUGGUUUCAAGGCGUCAAAAGACAAGCUGCAGUGGGUGAAACUGAGAGUUGACUAUCUGGGUUAUGAGCUGCAGAAAGGAACAGUUUGUCUCUCCACAGAUAGAGUCAAAACAAUAACCAACUUUCAGCGUCCAACAACAAAGACUCAAAUGCAACGUUUUCUGGGCUUUGUUAAUUAUUGUCAAGCCUGGGUCCCGAACUGCUCAUUGUAUAAAAAUAUAUUGAGAGAGGCCACAUUCUCAGGGGCCAAAGACCCCAUAAAAUGGACUGCUGAAAUGGACAUGGCUUUCAAGCACUUCUGAACAGUCUAAGUUCCCCACCAGCUCUAGAUCUGCCAAACUAUGGUGAACCUUUCCAUCUGUGAGUGCAUGAGGCUGGAGGCACAGCAGCAGUGAUCCUCACCCAGUCCCAUGGUGGACCAUAUAGACUGGUGGCGUACUUUUCGAAGACAUUAGAUGCAGUUGCCAAAGGCCUCUCUGCGUGUCUACGGGUGGUUGCUGCUGCAGCAUUGAUGGUACAAGAUGCAGAAUGCAUUGUUCUUUCACACCCUAUGACUGUGCACACCUCACAUCAGGUAGGAGCAAUUAUGCGUAAUAUUAAUACACAACACAUGACAGCACAACGUCGAUGGGGGUAUGAGGCUAUUUUGUUGGCUACUGCUAAUCUGACUAUUAAACCAACCUCUGUUGUGCAUGGUCCAACUUUGUCAUUGCAUAAGUUGUUAACCAAUGACCAGUUUUCUGAUGAUUCACAUGACUGCUUGGGUCGUCUGCAUGCAUCCACCUCUUGCAGGCUGGACUUUUCUUGUCUGCCUUGGAGGAGGGGGAUCACUGGUAUAUAGAUGGGUCAUAUUCAAAACCGAAUGAUGCUGUAUUCUGGUGUGGUUAUGCCAUAACUGAACUUACAAAUCAUGUUAUCGAAGCAUAUUCGCUUCCAUACAAAUCCGCACAAGCAGCUGAGUUGUUUGCAUUGAUUAGAGCAUGCCAAUUGGCCAAAGACAAAUCAGUCAAUAUAUACACAGACUCAAAAUACGCAUAGGGGUGGUGCACGAUUUUGCCGUGAUGUGGGAAGAAAGAAAUUUUAAGACAGCUGAGGGCAAACCGAUAUCCCAUCAUAACAUAGUAGCAGAGCUUCUGAGAGCAGCACAGUUGCCUGCUAAACUGGCUGUAAUAAAAGUUGCAGGACACAUAACAGCAGAGUCUGAGGAGGCAAGGGGAAACAGAUUAGCUGAUGAGGUUGCAAAAUGGGUGGUGAAGUAAGUUGUGGUAAGCCCUGAUCUAAAUCAAGCUGAUGAAACUGUUUCGAUUAUGCAAUCCACUUUAGUCAGAGAUGUUGACAUCAAAUUGUUGCAGGCUAAUCCAUCUGAAUCUGAUCUCUAACAUUGGGCCUCUAAUGAAGUGAAACCAGAUCAAAAUAAUUUGUUACGAGACAAACAAGGGCGCCUAGCUUUACCAAAACAGCCAUAGUAGUAAUUUGCCGACAUUAUCAUGGUAUUUCUCAUGUGUCAAAAGAAAAGGUAAUUCAGUCGAUUAAUCAAACUUAUUGCAUAAACGGGGUAGUAAUUUAAUCCUGGAUUCAUGUUUAACAUAUGCACAAAAUAACAGACAUAAGCCUAUAAAACGCGACUCGUUACUACAUCCGGAACUACCAUUCCAACAUCUGCAAAUUUUACCCACAUGCCGCCGCGUCGAAACAAUAAACUAUUAUUAUUCAUUGUGGACCGCUUCUCCAAUUGGACGGAAGCCUUCCCAUGUGCGAGGAAAAAUGCUAAGACCAUGGUUAAAAUUUUAGCUAAAGAAAUAAUACAGAGGUUCGGUAUACCGUCGGUCAUUGAAAGUGAUAAUGGCACACCGUUUGCUUCAAAGGUAAUACAGCUCUUAGCAAAAGAACUAAAUAUAAACUGGCAUUUUAACAUACUGUAUCAUCCACAGUUAUAUGGUGUGGUGGAGAGAACUAACCGCACUCUGAAAGAAUACCUACAUAAGCCCUGUACUGAAACAGGAAGAACAUGGGUUGAUGUAUUGCCGGCUGUGUUGACUGAGCUCAGAAUGUCACCAUAUUCUACCUAAGCUUUUUCCAUUUGAAAUACUAAUGGGUAGGCCUUUCCCGACCCCAUUGCUCUUAUUCCACAGGUGACAGGGAAGUGGUGACUGCAGAAUAUGUGGAUUCCCUCAUUAAGACAUUAAGUCUCUCUCUCUCUCCCUCUGCCUGCAGAUAGCUCUACUCACCCAUUUGUCAAUAGGUUCUGAUCAGGUGUCUAAACCUACUAAGUUAGGGGAGCAAAAGUAUCUGGGCCCAGCUACUGUCCUGGCGGUGACCAGAACUGGAGUGCUAACGGAUCUUCAACCACAGUGGAUACACGCAAGCCGCGUGAAACCUGCACCUGAGGAUAGCCCGACUAUUUUGAAAGUGAACGGUGAAAGUACUGGAGGAGCUGAACACGCAGCGCCAGUGCCUAACUUGGAACUUGAGAAUUAGGAGGGCCAGAGGAGGGAUGAAAACGACAUAAUAUUGAUAUGCUUCAUUAUGUACACUUACACGCUGUCAAGUCAACUGAGAUUCUGAGUGAUCCUUCCAGGAUCAAAGCGGGCAUUGUGAGAGAAGUUGACCUCUCAGCACCUCUCAGUUGACCUUUCAGUCGAUAUAUUUAAGCAAGCUGAUAUUUCACAGCUAGUACUCAGUUCCUAUUUUCAUAGUGUGUGUGUGUGUCAUUAAAGGAAAUCACGUGGAAAGGGUUUCCUGUUUUUCUCCUCUGAGUGUCUGAGGUCAAAAUUUGAACAUCACUCCUGUAUUCUAGAACAUUUGGUAUCAUUUGGAAUCUGUAUGUAUGUCUUUUUCAAAUAAGGUAAUGACUGAUCUCAUUGGGUAAUGUAGUUAGUGUACUGCUUUUCCUGUUCUUAUAAAGGUAUAUAAUGCUGUGCUGAACAAUAAAGUACGAGA